CAUUUAGGUAAUCCAGUUAUUGCCAAAUGUGUCCACCUUUAUUGAAAAUUGCUCCUAAUUAAGGCCUCUGAGUUCCAGGUCAUCUGGGACAGCCCAGGACAAGGUGAUAAAGUAGACAUCAUUUACAUCAUUACCUCAAAUGCUCAAAACACAGAGCCAAGGAAUAAGGCUUGGUGAUAACUUACUAAGUUAUUGAGGACAUCGACAUAUCACCAUUUUAUGUUAGAAAUAUGUAACGGUCCAAUCUGGAAGUGAUUAUGAUUCAGCACCAAUAUCAAGCUCCGGACGCGCAGGCUCAGCGGCCAUGGCUCACGGGCCUAUACACUCCGCGGCAUGUGGGAUCUUCCCGGACCGGGGCACGAACCCGUGUCCUCUGCAUCGUCAGGCGGACUCUCAACCACUGUGCCACCAGGGAAGCCCGAGUUUGCUUUUUUUUAUAUUCCACAUAUGUCAUCAACAAGACUUCUCUGAGAUGUGUACUGAGAAGCAUACUGAAAUGCAGAGUUCAUAUCUAGAUGGGCACUGCUCGCCCCUUACCCCUCAACCCCAGUGGACCUCUUGUUCUCCUCACUUCAUCUCAGCACAUCCUC